CCUUUAUUUCUCAUUACACCUUUUCAAACCUCCCCUCCUAUUCCUAAACAAACAAUGCAUUAAGGUCAAUGUAGAUCCAUUUUUCAAAUGUACACACAACAACUAAUUUCCUAACCUAUUUGAUUAAGUUGACAUAUGCAACCUAACUAGGUAAUUAGUAAUCCUUUUUAACAACAUUAUUAUGGCCAUUAUUACAGUAAUAUAAGUUUAGAACAGAGCAGUCAAAUGUAGCUCUAGGUCUUUGAUGGCACCUUUUUUUUCCACAUCUCCUUGUCUUUUAACCAAACAACCCCUUCCUUAUCUCUCACUCUCUCACCUCUCCUUCUCUCUCUCUCUCAAAUAAUUAUGCUCAUGAUUAUGUUCUCUGUUUCACUCCACUAACCCCCAUAAAAUCACAAACUUUCUUGUUUUCUGAAUCAUACAGACAUUAUCAAAAAAAAUUCAUCAUAAAAAAAAAAAACUCUGAAUUUCACAAUAAGAGAUAAAGUGGGAAGCUUGAAUUUUGAGGGGAAUGUUGUUUGGCUCGAAGACUGCUUAAAGUUACAAUCUUUCUUCAAAUUUUUCAUCAAAAUUUCUAGAAAAUUAAAUUUUGUCUUCGGACCAGGCUUCAUUCCCCUCAAUUUCAGCUUCCAAAUCAUUCAGAUCAUCAGACGAAUCUACAAAUUGGGGUCCUAAUUCUUCGAUUCGAUAUGGGUGAUUAAGGGUUUUGAUCUUUGUAGUAGAGUGCAGAUUGGUGUAAUCAUGAAAAGGGUUUUUUUUUUUGGUGGGGAGUUGGCAGAGUAGGUAUGUUUUUGAAGAUGAGAUUUCAUCAUUGCUGUUUCUUAUUAUUCCAUAUAAAAUUUUAUUUUAAUUUUUUCUUGGAUUUUAUUUUUGUGAAUUUCAACGCUAGUUAUCAUGUCUUGUUAUGUUUUUAUGUCAGUCAUUUGACUGUUAGUUUAUAAUCCCUAGUUUUCAUCAUUGAAGUGAUUUUUCUCAUCAUGACACACUUUGAAGGUUCUAAAAAAUCCCAUCUAUCACUUAUUCUAGGGUUUAUACUACUAUCAUCAUUCAUCAUCUUAUUCAUCUUCUUUUUUUUCUUCAAUUUCUUUUGCUCUAAUAUAAUCUUAUAUGCUUGUAUUAAUCAUUAAACGCGUCGUAUAAAUCCUAUAAAUCGGAUUUAUACUGGGGUUGUUGUUGUUGCUGACUUUUUUUUCGCGUAAUUAGAUUUAUAUACAUGUGUUUCUUCAAGAUUAUAUCAUGAAAUAUGGUUAACAUUUCAGAUCAAAGUUAUCAGCUAACUUUAAUGGGUACUAAAUUCAUUAUUUACAAAUCUCAAGCACAAGCUACAUGUGAUUUUAUUUAAUGUUGGUAGGUGAAUAUAUUACAUAAAUGGAGUACAAAUUAUUUUAUUCAAUGUGGUGCAUAAUUUUUCAAUGAAGAUUUUGCAGGCAAUAAAAUGUUACUGGAAAGUGUCAAUGGAAGAUAUGGGUAUAAUUUCUGGGAAGAGAUGACUUUGGUGGAUAAGUGUUCUUGAAGAUCCAUGGGUCUCAAGUUUCAAGCCUUACUGCUAUCAAAAGAAUUCAAGGAUCAAGUGUGGCCGUACUAUGAGUAUAUGAAAGAGACGAAAAAAAAUACUGUAGUAUAGCAGUAAACUUUAGAGAAGAGGACAAGAAGCGCAAACAUCGGGUGUUGGCUGGCAUUUCACAGUAGCAGAGAGGACGCCUUUUUUAAGCUUUACCUUUUAAAAAAUGUCAGAUUCUUGCCGAUUUUGCAUUUUCACCUCUACUUUCAUCUGCAUAUCAGCAUAUCCAUUUCUCAAGAAUUACAAUUGUUUGGGAUAAAUUUGGCAAAUUCUUUAGAGUGAUUUGGUUGAAAUCUUAUAAACUCAAUUGACUGUAAAUUAUAUCCUUAAAUUGACAAAAAUUGGGUUCGUUAUCUUGUAAUAAUUUCAACUAUAAAUUAUUUCAUAAUAAUCUCAACUAUUGUCUUCUGAAA